rnacentral:rRNA from 1 species
UGGCGGCAGGCCUAACACAUGCAAGUCGAGCGGCAGCACGGGUACUUGUACCUGGUGGCGAGCGGCGGACGGGUGAGUAAUGCCUAGGAAUCUGCCUGGUAGUGGGGGAUAACGCUCGGAAACGGACGCUAAUACCGCAUACGUCCUACGGGAGAGAGCAGGGGACCUUCGGGCCUUGCGCUAUCAGAUGAGCCUAGGUCGGAUUAGCUAGUUGGUGAGGUAAUGGCUCACCAAGGCGACGAUCCGUAACUGAUCUGAGAGGAUGAUCAGUCACACUGGAACUGAGACACGGUCCAGACUCCUACGGGAGGCAGCAGUGGGGAAUAUUGGACAAUGGGCGAAAGCCUGAUCCAGCCAUGCCGCGUGUGUGAAGAAGGUCUUCGGAUUGUAAAGCACUUUAAGUUGGGAGGAAGGGCAUUAACCUAAUACGUUGGUGUCUUGACGUUACCGACAGAAUAAGCACCAGCUAACUCUGUGCCAGCAGCCGCGGUAAUACAGAGGGUGCAAGCGUUAAUCGGAAUUACUGGGCGUAAAGCGCGCGUAGGUGGUUUGUUAAGUUGGAUGUGAAAUCCCCGGGCUCAACCUGGGAACUGCAUUCAAAACUGACAAGCUAGAGUAUGGUAGAGGGUGGUGGAAUUUCCUGUGUAGCGGUGAAAUGCGUAGAUAUAGGAAGGAACACCAGUGGCGAAGGCGACCACCUGGACUGAUACUGACACCGAGGUGCGAAAGCGUGGGGAGC